GCUCUGAGAGCUUCCCGGAGAGCCAGAAAGAAGAAAGAGGGGUCUGCAAUCCUUAAUCAGCGCAGCAUCGCUCUGCCUGUGGUUGAGUCUCUGAGCCAGUCGGGAGAUCCUGCUCUCAGAUCUGAUGAGAGAAAGUCCGAAACAGGCAUCUAAUCCCCAACACAACAAGAAUCUGGCAUCCUGACUGUCAUGAGUGGACCUGAGCUGGAUCCACAGGUGAUUCGCCUCCCAUGCUUCAAACCCUAGUGAGCUGUCUAGCUACACUGUAUUUUAAGACAUCACAGGAGGGCUGUUCCAAAAAGAGUUGUAGAUCCGCUGAUGACAAAUCCCCUCUGUGCAGCCGGGGUGAAGUUACCCAACCAUUCCAGCUGGAGAUAAAGACAAGUUUGAGGGAAGAAAAGGGGAUGAUUCACACGACCACAUGGACUGACAAGCUAAGUGACAGACAAGACACAUUUUCCUACUACACCCUCACCCACCUUCUCUAGCGCAACCACAUAAAUGCCAUCCUGUGUUAAUUCAACCGAAGACUUCUAAGAACAGAAAGACACCUCAAAGAAAAGAGGAGAUACAGAGAAGAAAACAAUAAGGUGGUGCAAAAAGGUGAAUGGAAAUGGCUGCAAUUUGACAACAGCAUUCAGCUAAAAGAUUUAGGGAUGUGUUCUUUAUUAAAGCCAAUGAAUAUAUGCCAACGUGAAAGACAGCUUCAAUUGUUCCUUAUGUAAUAUAAAACAUGUGACAUGUAGCCACAGACGCUGCAAUUUACUGGGUUCCUCAUUUUUUUAGGGUUUGUUAAUUGGCAAACAAAACCUAUGUUAAUAUUUUAUACUCACUUAGAAAUUAUUUUAAAUAUUAAUUAAAUGUUGUCCAAAAUUGCUCACUGGUUCAGUAUUCACUGUACAUAGAAUGACAAGUUCUGAAGAACAAAUGAAUAACCAAAAUUAAUAAUCAAAUUUACUGAUGUAACUAUAAUUACUUUAUAGUUUUAAGAAAGCUUCGCCAAAUACAAUUUCUUAUUUGCCUUGUUGUUUUGCGAAUGGUACGAUUAUAUAAGAACAAAUUAAACAGUAUCAUGUAGAGUAAAAAAAUUAUUACUGCACUUUUUUACUCAUCUAAAAAUAUUCAGUUAAAAUAAAAUGUAAUGAAAAACUUUUAAUUCAAUGUGUUACUUGCAAUUUCUCAAGAAUUAUUUGUGAAAUGUAUUAGCAAUUAGUAAAAGAAAGAUGAUGCAUGAAAUUGUAAAUCCUACAGAAAUUGCUUUCAUUGUAUAUUUCUUCAUAAUAUAACAUGAUAUAAUGUAUUUUUAAAUAUUAUACAUGCAAGUUUUAUAUACAUACACACAGUACCUAAUAUGCUGUACACUUGUACUGUAGAAAACAGCAGUUUAGACACAGCUAAGCUUGAAUAAUAAAAAAAAAAAAUCUAUUCAUAUACUAAAACUAUUUCUCAAAAUAUGCUUUCAGGACUAAAACCAUUUUACAUGAAAUACUCAACGCAUGUAUGCUUAAAUGAAUGCAUAAGCCUCUUUAAGAGGGAGCUGCGUCGAAACAGUUCAAAUAUAAUGGCAAAAAUUUAGAAGAACAUUUUCCAUGAGGGCAGAACAAAGCUGUUUCCAUAGCUGCAGCUUAAAAACAAAGCUCUCAUCGUCUUGCAUGUGAGCAUUCAGGGGACACAAGCUUAAUGAAAACUGACACUAAUGGUACAGAGAGAUACCCGUGUCAUCGGUUCCUAUCAGUGGAAAUCCUUGAAAGGGUAUUAGAAAAAAAUAAAUAAAUAAAAUGCAGCAUCAUUGUGCAGCACUCAGCCCGAAGCAAUCUUUGAUAAGAAGUAAAUAAAUGAAUUAAUUAGGAUUUCUUGAUUGUUUACUGCUAUUUUGCACAGCGCCAAUGCAUCCCAUGGCCUACAGGAAUACCUUAGUGCAACAUUACGCUUUAUAAACUCGAUUUCUCAUGUAUGGCAGCACAGGGACAUAGAAACAAAUAUACAAAAGCAAGACAAAUAACUCUGUCAGUAUGUAGUGGCUCCGUUAAAAAGGGCUUAGUUUCUUUCUAACGUCAAGAGGAAGUUAAAAGUGAUACUACAAGGAAACAAUAAGGAAACCAGGCCAGCAAGUAACCGUACAUAAGCACAGGUGUAAGAUGACUAAAAGCACAAAAGGAAGGUGUGAAAACAGGUAGAACCAGUGAUGCAAAUGGAAAGAGAUAAAAAAAGAUACCCUUUCUACCUCGUUCCUAUUGCUUGAAGCAUGAAACGGCUUUAUGACUGCUCAUGGAGCUUCAUGUGAAGUUGUAGCUAUCACAAAACCACUUCUAAACUCAUGUCAUCUCCAACCUGAUCCGGUUGUCUCGCAUUGCAGCUGCUUCCAGAUAUUUCUUGACUCAUGGAAAGACAAGAAACCUGCAGAAGUGGGGGCUAUGAGAGGAGCGAGCGCAUAGCCAAUCAGAAGGCAGUAUACCAAGUCACGACGGCGUGAAAGAGCAAGCGCUCUCUUCUCAGCAGGCUUUUGUACGCGGUUCCUUCUACGCAGCUCAAGGCUAAGUGUUCCAUUUGCAUGGCAGGCAAAACAAAGGCCACGACAACAGCUCUGAGACGCACAUCUCAUCGGGGGUAUGGGCUUGGAGGCUUGGUUUCUAUUAGCAUUUUGUUCAAAAACUAAAAAUACUGUUUACUGGCAGUCGAAUCCACGAUAUCAUGUGCCGACUCCUCAGGCUAAGAGAAAACCAUAUGUAGGAUGGCGAUUAGUCUUGAAACAGCUACUGCAACAAACAGAAAAAGUGGGAAGUGGAAACUAGAGCCAAAAUCAUGUUCCAAGAACUUAGAGAGUGAAUUAUCAACUGUCUGCAAGAUUUUAUAAAUGAAAAUGUUGAUGUUUGCGUA